rnacentral:rRNA from 1 species
AUGUAUCAUUGCCCUCUAGCCUCUACUACUCACUCUACUGCCACCCCGCCCAGGCCCAUCCUACGUCCUAGUACUGCUUCACUCUACGCCGUACCGUCUCCACGGCUCCACACCACCGCGGGGCGGAGGAAGCGCCUCCUCUCCUCUCCUCCGCGCGUGCUCCCGGGCACACCUCCACUCCACCGCUUUGCUUUGCCUCGCCUUGCCUUGCCUCGCCUCGCCCCUGCCGUCGCGCAUUUGGCACUUGCCUGCUCGAUCCCCCGUCCCCCCUCCUCUUCAUACUCGCUCCGCCACUUGCCUGCCGGUGUGUGCCUUCCUCCUCGGAGACAUUGUCGGUGCUCUGCUCCUUCCCUCCCCGCCCGCCCGCCGGAGAAGGUCGCGGCCACCACCAAGAAGACGCCCAACUCCCGCAUCUCGAAGUACCCCAGCCUGCCGUCGCAGCUGCUGUGCCAAGUCCAAACAUCACCAUGCAUGCCGACAAGGACGCCGAUGAGGUUUACGCACAUAUGA